GGCUUAAUAGCAGAAGGCAAAUAACCAUAUAAAGCAAUAUCAUUUGUCCUGGGUGAGAAGUCCUAAAGAUGUGCAGAGGUAGACAAUCAGACGUUGAAAUGACUAAAGAAGUCUUCAUGGAUGAGUGGACAAACUGAACUUUAAACACAAAGUAGUAUUUGAAUAAGUGGAGGUGGAGAGUGUUCUGGACUGUUACAUUACAGAAAUGGAAUCGUAUAUACCUAGAGGCUGGAAAGUUUAAGGCAUCUUUGGAGAAAAUUUAGAUUAUUGGAUUUAACCAUAUGAAAUUGCUGUUCUUAUAGGUAAGAAAUGGUCAAAUAUCACCAAGUGCACAAGACUCAAGACUGGCAUAGUAGAAGACAAAGGUGGAUAUAUGGGAAUUAGUAAAUAAGCUGAAAAUGUGAAGUCAUGCAAAGAUUUGUUUGAAAAGCAAAACGUUUCAAUAAAAGGUCUUCCUGGAUUAAGAAUCUAAGUAUGAUUUUCAUGAACCACCACCACUAAAGAUCAGAUAAUAUUAUUCAUGCUGCAAUUUGAAAGGGAAGCAAGAGGAAAAUCAGACCGACUCUGCCACUGCAUAAAAUCACCCCCCUGGGAAUGAACAAAGCAUUCCGAGAAUGAGAAAUGGAAUAUUGGUGACUUCCUGGCUAACAGUUCCAUCUAGAGUGAACUGCGGUCAUGAUUUUCCAAUAACAGCCUGUUACUAAACCAAGAGAGGGAACCAACAAUGCCUGAGAAGAUUUGCAAGAACUUUGCCCAGCUGAGGCCCUUAAUGGAUGCAAUGAGGACAACUAACUCAAUCAAAUUCUCUUUUUGAAAGAAGAAUAAACUCUAAGUAAAGGGAAAGCUAUGGCAAUCAUGAGAAGACCUUGGGUUUUGACAGUAGAGACCUAGGACAGAAGUGGCCUGGACUGCUGAGUUGGAAUGCUGCUCAAACUCAAAAGGUGAUUUGUGGAAAAAGAAGCCCUCAUUAUGUUAAGACAGCUAAAGCACCAAGCUGUGAGGGUUGUACACUGCCCAGCCUAACUUUGCUUAUCCUGUCUAGGACAUGUCUCCAUUACAGAUCAUCCUCUCUGCCCCAGUGCUACUCUAAACAAGUUAUCUCCAGACUUGCACACAUAAAACCAUCAUUAUGCUUAUCUAAACAAAAGGGGCCUCCUUAGAAUGGAAUCUCUCGUUUGUGUGUACACAUAUGUAUCUGUAAGCAAUAGAACAUUUGGUAAUUAUUCU
rnacentral:lncRNA from 1 species